GGCUCUUUCUAUCAGAAAUUACCUCAGUCAUCUAACAUGGCGAUCUGCGAAGGGAACUCCCUUGUAGAAGUCAUCCUUUCGAUAAUUUUUGAACGAGUAAUACGUAAAUAUACAAGACUAAACGAAGAUGAAAGCAGUUCCAAGAGCCCAGAAGUAUUGCUGAGGAGCCUAGUUGACCGCUAUCUGAAUUAUAAUUACGUUCAAAGAAGAUACAUGGAUUUCUACGUUCAACGUGAUAAUUAAACAUUCGACAUCCGAAAUGAAACACAUCAAACGAUAUGUCCUAUGUGGAUAAGACAAAUAUCCGACCGUCAACCAGAUUAGGAAAUGAAAACGUUUUUCUCUUCAGUCUUAUUUUUAAAUGAGAUUUUAUCAUGGCGACCAGAGUAUUUUCAUCGAUGAGUGAGGUAUUAUGUCUCUUACCUUAAGCUAUUUUAAUGGUAUUAUGUUAAUAUAAAUCAAGAAUCCUUAUAAUUUUCAACUGCUGUAAUAAAGAAUAUUCGAUAUAGGAAACAAGAUGCUUGGUGAAGGAGAGGAGAUGGUAAAAACGGCGGAGGUAGCUGAUGCUGCUUACGAAUUUAUUACAAAUCUUGCCAAUAAUCUGAAACUCAAGUUGGUGAGAGAGGCACCUUACUAUCUGGUGUAUGAAAACAACAUGUUUCUAUUGCUAGAACAUUACUAUAGCAACCAUCUACUACAAUAUUGAAUUUUAAUAAAGGAGCACAUUGGAUGGUGAAUACAGAAGAGUGGUUUACAAAGCAGUUGGAAAUUCUAAGCGAGGCAGAAACAUCGUUAGCUAUUGUUCAUGUAUGCAUUAUGUGAUUGGGAAUACAUAGGAAAAAGAAAAGGAAGAAAAAACAUUUGUCCUUGACGACGAAAUUUGGAAAAGUCAAUAUGGUGCUGUCUUAUAAAGCGUGGGACGGUGAUACGAGGAGGUGGGAGGGAUUUACUUCAUUCAAAGGUUCCAACCGCGAGCGGCUUUAGCUGGAGUGUCUAUGCGUUUCUACUGAGAAUGAUUUGUCGAAGGGCCGUUCGACGUUGCAUGCAUUAGAAGAGUCAAACGGAACAAAUACAUUUAUAAGAGAAUAUUUUCAAAGAAUCCUACGUCAAAAACAUAUUCAUCAUCUAUUAUGGAAUGUCAAGCAAUUGACUUUCGAAGUUGUUCACCAGUGUUAUCAUCUAAAAAGGUUGUUAUUUAAUAUUUUUAGUUCCUUGUUACAGUUUUUAGGCAAUGACAUGCCGCUUUAUAUUAUAGCUCGAAUUUAAAAAAAGGAAGAAAAGAAAAAUACAUAUCCAUAUAUCUUAUGUGCGGACACUGAAUUAUAUAAUAUCGAUCGGCGGUAUUUUACUAUGUACAAUUACCGACGGUUUCCAAAACAUAUUUGGUAUUUCUAAGCUGUAGUAAUAAUCAACGUGCUGGGUUCGAAAGGAAGGCAUUUCCUUUUCAAACGUGAUCCGCAUAAUUAUGUUCCAUAGCGUCUUCAUUACGUGGUUGCAAUUAACAAGGAAGAAGAGGACGAAGAGGAGGAAGAGGACAAACAUUUAUAAUGGUGUUCACGACGAUCCUCAUGGUAUUGCCUCAAGGUAAUCGUCAAUUAAAAUAGCGCUGUAUUACAAAGCUUCAUUCAUAUGGUGAUACGAGGAUACGGAAUAUACGUUAUUGAAAGGAUUCAAAGUAAGUGGCUUUAGAUAGAGGAUAUAAUGGAGUGUUAUGGGAAAGAUUCAUCGUAGGGUUGUUUGUCGUUGCAAAGGGAAUCUGGAUUCAAAUGGAACUGAAAUGGUACUCAGGCAGCUUUAUCAUUGAAAAUGAUCAAAGCUGCAUAUACGAUCAAAGUAUUCAUUGUUCUUCGGGAUAAUAACGUUAGCCUGGACACGCUUUUAAAUUAUGCGUUAAUAUGUAGUGUACGUUUAUCUCACCGUGUCAUCGUUAUACCGUCAGUUUAUAUUAUUAUUCAAUAUAAUUAAAAAGAGAAGAAGUGUUUGGUUCAAUGUUCCAAAUUAUUUGUCAGAAUAUUCACGUCAUGUACUUAAAAAUAAUGUAUAAUGUACGUUUUUCAGAAAUAUAGGUAUUUGGACGAACUAAAUUAUUACGUAGCGCAAAUAUCUUACGAUUGAGAUUUAAUGAAAAUGCAUGCAUACGUUACGUUCUUCCAUACGUAUCGUCGUGUACGUUCGUGUUAAACAAUUUGUUAUUAUCUUUCUCCACACACUUACGCUCUUAUAUUCUCUCAUCCGCGCUAGGGCAUGUACGCGGGAAUAUGUCCGCGGUUCUGUGGGUGUGCGUGCGUAUAUCUCCUCGCUUAUUUUGACGAAAGGUAUUUUUUCAAAAGAAGAAAGAUAUUUUGUCCUUCGUUCUCCUGUCAUUAAACUAAGCAGGCAAUGCGAUAAUACGAUUAGCAGUGUAUUUCAAUUAGCUAUUUAGCUGCAUUAAUUAAUUAGCAGAUCGAUGUACCACAACUAAUUUAGUUCUUUCAUACGAAGAAAUACUUUUUCCGAAAAAUUAAUUCCCGAUAGGAAAAUUUCAAAGAACGAUCCACUUAUACUGCCAAUUAUCUAAUAUAUCAUAUAUUCCAAACUAAUUAGUUCCUCGGAAAAUGUUAUCUUAAUCGAUUCGUUUAUUUCUCAUUACGUAUAACCCAGUAUAGCAACGACAUACUUAUAUAUCUAGUAACAUAAUAUUUCUAAUUUAUUCAGCAUUUUCCUAAUGUUUUACUCGGAUGAUUAAAUAUCUCGAUAAGCGUACAUAUAAUAAACAUUUACAUAAUAUUUCCCUAACAUAGUAAAGAUCUAUUAUACUUCUUUCUAGCCAUCGUUAUUCGGUCAACCGAUUUACAUCGCACAAAUCAUCAGUUAUAAAUAUUGUAGGAAGAGAUUUUCCCAGAGAUUACUAUUCCUUUUAAAUACAAUAUUCUGAAUUCUACUUUCUUGGUAAUGUCAACAUUCUCUUCGCACAAAAUAAAUAAAUAUGAAUAAUUAAAUGCCAAAAAAAUUUUCCUCAUCGGAAAGUGGAUAAACGCAAUUCGAUUUUUACAUCGUGAAAUGAUCGAAAAGAUAUGAGUAUGGAGAAUCACAUGGGGAAUCAAAUGGAGAAAAAAGAAUCAAGAAGAAAAAACAGAGAUAAAAGCAAACAGAAAUCUUCCUUUUACGCUAAUAUCGAUCCAGAACUGUUGGUAACAUUGUGAAGAGAUAAUUGGGGAUCGUGAAAAUAUGAAAAAGAGGGGAUUAAACGAAACAGCGCAUGCUCGAGUCAAUAUAAAAGAUGUUAGGAGCUGUCCGCGGAAGUUGAAUAAACUAUUUAUUCUGUUUCGAAUCAUCCUACAAGCAUCUUCCUGGAGGUUUCAAGAGAGGGACGAAUUAGAAUAAUAUGUAAGUUCCUGUCCAUCGCGAUAAUGUUACUUAUCUGGAAGAUUAUAAAAAACGCGCUAUCGGUUAGUGAAAUCCUAUUUGAAUUUUAUGCUACUUGAUAUUAACGCAUUAUACUAUAUUUUAUACAAUUUUGUGUUCAAUACUACGAUAUACCGUUUUAUAAUAUACUAUAGAAAGUUGUAUAGUUUAUCAUUUUCUUGCACUAUAUAUUAUAUCUAGUAAUUUGUCUUGGGUAUAUUAUUGUAUAAUAUUAACCAGAGGAAAUAUUAUAAUUUGCGUUAUUUGAACUAAAGCUUAGUGAAUUGUUUGGAAUAAUAUAAAUAUCCCUUGGAAUGUUAAUAUUUGAGUCUCCUUUUCUAAUUAUCGGCUUGUAAAACUGUGUUUCGAUCUAUCAAUCGUAAUGCGUUAUUAAGUACUAUUUGUUUUCUUACAGAUAGUCCUGCAAGGCGUAAUUAUUAAUCGAGUUAAAACUAUUUGUGCUAGUACUUGGUAAGUUCAUUACAUUCUGUUAAAAAUUAGUUUAUAUAUUUUCUCUUUUCUUUUGAAUGAAAUUUAUGAAUGAAAUUUUCUCUAUUCUUUUCAGAUGGUAGACUGAUUCGAUAUAUACGUAAAUACAUGCAUAUAUAUACACACAUAUAUAUAUAUUUCACCGCACUGUGUACUUUGUAUGUACUAAAGUCUAAUGUUCAUGUUUAUAUUUAUUUAUAUAUUUGCCUAUAAACUGAUAUACUCUUUAUAUAUUUCUGAGAAUCAUAUGGAUAUAGAUAAAUGUAUAAAUAAAUAAGCUCAUAAUUUGCCUUCAAUACGUAUAACAUAAGCAGUGCGUUGUAAAAUAUAUAUACAUAUAUGUAUGUAUAUAUAUAUAGACGUAUGUGUAUACAUAUAUGUCAUACGAAUAUCAGUAAACCACGGAUGUAAAAUUAAAAAGAAAAUUGAAAAAUAAGUCAAAAUAAAAAAUGAAGUUAAUAUUAAAGAAAAAAAGAGACAUCGAGAAAAGAAGCAAGCUUAUAUGUAUUAGAAAACUCUGAAGUGUGUUUAACAGAAUAAAAUAUCAAGAGGAUAGAAAUAUACACGUCCAGGAGAGUCGAGCACAUAAUUCAAGGAACCAUUAAAGAGGAAUAUUAAUGGCUACGACGAGUAUAUUCUAUUCCUGGCAAUCUGCUAUACGAGAGGAAUCAUAGGCACACACGCCCAUAGCAUCGCCCAAUCAUCCCAUCUGCUUUAAUACGAUCCCGCACGAGCAAAAGUACGCACACGGAUGGAGAGAGACCAUAAUAAUUGUACAGUAUGAAGAAAUAUACUAAACUAACCGAAGACGAAAGCAGUUCCAAUAGCUUGGAUGUAUUGCAAAGGAGCCGAACUGACUUAUAUUUGAAUUGUAAUUCCAAAGAAGAACAACGCUCCACCAGAUAAUAAAACAUUGCACAUCCAAAGUGAAACACAUUUCCGUUGACACUUUCUGUUCCUCCGUACAUCCGACGAUACGUCUUACAUGGAUAGUACAAAUGCCAGACCAUCAACGAGAUUAAUAUAUGGAAACAUUUUCCUUUUUACAUUUAUGUUUAAAUGGAAAAUCAAUCAAUGCUGUGUUUAUUUAAUGGUAAGAUAUUUUAGAGAUUAUAUGCAGCCGAAGAAAGUAUUAUUAUUUAUAAGUGAAUUUAUCUCAAAUAUUCUAAAUGGUAUGAAUCCCAAAUUGGAGUAAUUAUCCGGUAACUUCUAUAAUAUGGAAAUGGUAUUUUCUAAUAAAUCUUAUACAAAUAUAGUGCUAAAUUUAAAGAAUAUUAAUGGAAUAAUAGAAUGAUUAGUGAUAAAGAUGUUUCAAUCGUUUCUAUUAUUUGUAAAGCUGUUGUUUGGCACGUAUGAUAGCUAGGGAUUAUUUAUCGUAUGAGACACACUUGCGUAUUACUGGGUCGAAAAUCACGGAAGGAAUGACUUACCCUAGUUAAAUUGGUCACGUCAUAACGAUAGAAGACCAAGCUUCCUAGAAUCUAAUUCCCUAACUAGAACGCAUGGGGAUAAAUAAUUUCCCCUCUCCUAUAGUUAUGUAAUUAUAUAUAUAUACUCUAUAUAUAUAUAUAUCUAUCGUUCACGCGAAAUUAUCUGUGUAAUAUAUCUUGGAAUUUCCUAAUGAGAAUCUUACAAUAAUUCGUCUAUCUUUUAAUUGAAAUAAUCAUAUAAAACUGUAAUUAUUUAUAAUAUAGUUAACUAUUAUAAUAAUAAUUAUUGUAAUUAUUAAGACUAAUUCCUAUGAAAUUAAUCGGAAAUUCAUAUAGGAAAUUCGCACUGUUACUUCUUUCGUAAGUCUACCUUAUACUUACUAGUUAUAUUUAAUAGAUUAAAUGUUUAUUUAUUGGAAAAGAGAUUGGAUUACAAUCUCGCUAAGUAGAUACAUGUCGAAGAACUUUAAACGGAAACGAAAGUAGUUAAUUUUCUUACCGUAAAUAAGAAAUUAUGCUUCGAAGAAAAUGUACAUUGGAUUAAAUUUUUUUCGAAUUUAAGUUUACCGUAAUAUAUCGAAGUAAAGAACGAACAUUUUCUUAUAAAUACAAAUACAUGGCAGUAUACACUCCUUAUAUAAGGAUUAUAUGGAAAUUUAUCUCAGUUAGCUGUAAUACUACAUUUAUAUACACAUACUAUGUGUGCUUAAUGAGUACCUUAACUUCAUAAUACAUAUCACAAUACUUUCGCUGUAAUUUGAUUUAUUUCAAUCGUAUAACUACCGAAAAUAAAUAAGAUGAGGCCUUUUAAAUGCUACAGCAACUAUUCCUAAACCCAACAAAAUAAUAAUUAAAAUGCUAUGAAUCAAGAGAAUCAAUUUCAUUUCUAUGAUAUAGAAAUGAAAUUUUCUACUGAAUCUAAUCGUGUUUAAACCGUUUGUAUUAUUUGUAAAGCUGUUCUUUGGUACGUAUGACAACUAGGGAUUAUUUCGGGUAUGAGACACACUUGCGUAUUACUGGGUCGAAAAUCACGGAAGGAAUGACUUACCCUAGUUAAAUUGGUCACGUCAUAACGAUAGAAGACCAAGCUUCCUAGAUUCUAAUUCUCUAACUAGAACGCAUGGGGAUAAAUAUUUCCCCUCUCCUAUAGUUACGUAAUUAUAUUUGUAUCUUUAUGUAAAUAUUAUACUCUAUGUCUCGUUA